rnacentral:lncRNA from 1 species
AUUUGUUUAUCCUUAACUCAUGUUUAGUUUGACAAGCUCAUCUUGAUGCUGGCAGGGCAACAGUAUAAGUAGCCUUUAAAUCAAAGGAUUUAAAACAGUGUAACUGUGACUGGAUACAUACAAAACCCAAAGAAGUAACUUUAAGAAGUUUAAAGAGGAUUCAUCUAUUCCCUUUGCCACCACUAUUUAAGUUGAAAUAGUUUUCAUGAGAAAAAUAAGCUACCAGGAGGUAAAAUGAUCUGAAAUACUUAUGUAAUACUCUGAAAUGUUAACAGGCAUCUGUGCUAUUUAUUAUUCUAAGAAAGAUAAGUUAUCUCAGUAACUUGGAGUAGAAAAAGUUGUCAAAUAUUUAAGUUCAUUUUUGGCCCUUCAGAUUCUCUCUGGAGUACUUCUGGAAAAAUUAUUCCAUCACUGUUAGAUGACAAUGGAAUGCUUCUAUUAACUAGCUUCACGGUAUUGAAGAGUGGAUUGUCUGAGGACCAAUUGUAAAUUGAAUGUAAAAGAAACAAAGGCUGAAGCAGGAAAACUAUCUGAGUUUAUAAAGUGGACACCUGGGAAAUUCUGUUAACUUUUUCAAUAGAUGGGAUUUUCAGUGUAAUAAUUAGAUUUAAUGAUUCCAUAAACUUUCCAGAUAAUCUUAAAUUUGUUUUACGUUAAAAUAUAUUUCCUUCUGACAUCCGUUUUCCCCUAGCUAGUUAGUCCUUCGGGCUCAAACCUAAAAUUGUUUACGCUCUUUUCUUCCUUAUUUUGCUGGCUAUUAAUACCUGUUCCUCUCACUCUCCUAAUCUUUCAUUAAUCCUCAGGGCCUCUCCCACCUCGCCUUCACCAGCUGCAAGGCUAUGGUCUAGGUUUCCCUACCUUAGCCUCGUCCAUACCUCCAUUUUUCAUGGUGCUUCUCCAUCUUUCUUUUUAAACACAAAAGACUCACACUGAUGUCUCAGGUCAGGCCAAACCUUAUGCAGCUCAUUUUUGCCAUUUCUUAGAACUACGCUUCCCCUGGUCACCAUUUGCCUUCCAUUGUCUUGAGUUAGCCCAGAAUCUGUCUCUGAUGCUCCCCCCCAUCCUGCUUACUCAGCAUGUUCAGGCUUAGAGGAAAUUCUGAUUAUCAGUGGGGCAGCUCAAACCCAUGUUUUUUUUGUGGUUGAUCUCCUUCCUGGAUUCUGACUUUUAGUGCUGGGUACAACAGGGAAAGUGUUACAGGUGUCAUACAAUGUCUUUGGAGGAGUGUGAAGCUUAGAUUUUUAAAGAAUCACUUAUACCUAUUUUUAGGAAACUAAUUUUAAUUAUGACAUUUAGGAUUGCAAAUAAAAUAUGGAAAAGCAGGUUGUGUUAAGCCCUUCAAGUGUGGUACAGGGUACACCACACACAUUCUCUGGUGGGUUUUUGUUUCUAUUGCCCUUAAAGUCCCAUGGCCACUGUGUAUGUCACACAUAAACCCAAUUUUUACCUUUUCUCUAGUAAGGUAACAAAUUGGCUCUAAUUAUACAGGAUUUUAGUGGUUAUAUUUCUUGGUAUGGGAAGUUGAGAUCCGGCAUUUGUGCUCGGUCCACUAAUAUCUUUCCAUCCCCCAAGUUUUGUACAGCACCUCAGAAUUCAUUUCAGAAUUUAAUAUUAUCAGCAGCAUGUCACAAAAGGUUUUAAUAUAUUUUGAUCAUCCAAAGCAUACUUCGUAUCCAACUGAUCUGUAGAAGAAGAUACCCUGUCAUGUCUACCAGUUUGCUCCUGGUCCUCAUCUUUAAGACACUUAAUUCCCCCCACCCCAAUUCCUUGCUACUAAACUUCCCCAUAUGAAAAUGAAUCUUUCUAAUCUUCCGAAUGGGUGAAAAUAGGAAGACUUGAUCACGUUGGGAUUUUAAGUUACACAUAUUUACACACUUACGACUUUAGUGCCAGCUUAUUACCUAUGAAUUUAUUCUACUCUCUCAUCAAGAGAAAGACCUGAAGCUAUGUGCCCCUUCUUCCUUUGUUCUGAACCUAGAUAAUGACACGUUCUAUUAAUCAAGUUCCCCAUUAACGGUGACCCUCCUAUUGUUGAGUCCUGGUCCCUGACAUUUGUUGUAUGUGCCAUGUGCUAGGCACUCACUCACUGUGAAACGUGCUUAGAAGUGUUUCGUUGAAUCCUCAGUCCAUCUCAUGACAUAAAGACUUGCUUUCUCUUUUUCAUCCAUACGCAAUUCCAAGUUUAGCGACGUUGAGAAAAUUGUCCAAGCUGCCCCGAUGCACAUGAUCAGAACUGAAAUCCACAUUUGGCCUCAGCUGACUUGACCUACGUUGUUCAACUGCUCUGAACUGAUAAUUUAUUACUUCCUAGAAAAUGAGGAUAUUAUCAAUUAUCUUUUGUCUUUUAGGUAGCCAGUCAUAGCACAAGAUCCAUAAUCUUACUGUAGUUGGGGAGACCGCCCUGCACCCCCCACCCCCUUUACCCAUUCCUGUGGCCCCACGAUGGUGCUGGGGAAUGAACACCAAUUUAGGACUUUUUUUCUGGCUUGAUUUGUCAGUAGUAAGCAUGAAUAUAACAUUUAUCAUCCACACACUGAAAAUGAAAGGGGAUACUAUAUACAGCUUCACUGAGAUGUGGAGAGUGGCCCCUCCGGUCUCACAUUUAGCCCAUGGCGAGGAGCUGGCUUCUCUGUGGAUGCUCUCACAGUGCUGCAGCAAACUGGAAUGAUUGAUGGCAAUCAGCUUUCAUGGAAAUAACUGACUGUAGGUAAGGCAGGGAAAUCACCAAUUUCAGUAAAUGUCAGGUGAGUGCCACCAUGGCGAAGUGCCUAUAAUGGCAUCAUUUGCCCAGCUUCAAGUUUUAUUUAAGUAUCUUCGGAUGACAGGGUUUGCUGGCAUUCGGAAAGUGGGAUGCACGGGAUGUAAGAGAGAAGCUGGCGGAGAACAUUCCGCUUUUGCUGCUGUGUGGACGAACUGGCUGAUUCCUUGGAUUUGUGUAUCUUCUGGUUCAUUGCUGUAGUAGCUGUGAGUGAGUGUGAGUGAGUAUGUGUGUGUGUGAGUGUGUGUGUGUGUGAGUGUGUGUGAGUGAGUGAGUGUGAGUGAGUGUGUGUGUGAGUGAGUGUGUGAGUGAGUGUGUGUGUGUGUGUGUGUGUGUGUGUGUGUGUCCAGAAAGUCAAGAAUGGCAGAUUAUGCCUUUACUACAAAAGUUAACUGUGUGUGAAAGUCACGUACAAAUAAAAUGGGCACAAGUACUUUUAAUUCCACGAAUGAUUUAUAGUCUGUAUUUCUUACUCCUUUGCACCUCAGUGGGAACCUGUUAUGGAAACCUGUUUAUAGACUGUUGGAUAUAUAUAUAUAUAUAUACUUGUUUUAAGGCAUUUUCAAGAAGAAUUACUUAUAUAAUUUUCAUUUCAGAAUGAUAUCACAAAUUAUUUUUCUAAAGUUUAUUUAAGAAACAUGAAAAUAUUAGAUUUAUUACAUAUAUAAUUAAUGAUAAUGCUAUUUAAUGUUAAAAAAAAAGAAUAGCUGCUUAUAUUUUCUACCUUUUAAAAUAGAUAUUUAAGCAUGUUUAGUUUUACUUAAGUCAAGGACCAUUAAUUAUAUCUUUUAAAAGUUGUGUUUCUUUUACAUGUGUGUUUAGGUUCUUGUCACUGACUUUCUAUAUUAUGUAAAUGGCACACAAUUAUCAAUACAGGAGCACUGUGAAAAUGUCCGUGUUGCAUACAGAUUUAAUGUACAAUUAAGCUCAAUAAAAUAUACUCUGUGGGUU